UACGUAGGGUGCAAGCGUUGUCCGGAAUUAUUGGGCGUAAAGAGUGUGUAGGCGGUGCUCUAAGUUCGGUGUGAAAUCUCCUGGCUCAACUGGGAGGGUGCGCCGGAAACUGGAGUGCUUGAGCGUGGGAGAGGAAAGCGGAAUUCCUGGUGUAGCGGUGAAAUGCGUAGAUAUCGGGAGGAACACCAGUGGCGAAGGCGGCGAUCUGGGUCGAUACUGACGCUGAGGUGCGAAAGCGUGGGGAGCAAACAGG
rnacentral:rRNA from 1 species